CCUACGGGAGGCAGCAGUGGGGAAUAUUGGACAAUGGGCGAAAGCCUGAUCCAGCAAUUCCGCGUGUGUGAAGAAGGCCUUCGGGUUGUAAAGCACUUUAGUGGGGGAAGAAACAGCUUGGCCACACCAAGCCUUGACGGUACCCCAAGAAUAAGCACCGGCUAACUCUGUGCCAGCAGCCGCGGUAAUACAGAGGGUGCAAGCGUUAAUCGGAUUUACUGGGCGUAAAGGGUGCGUAGGUGGCUAUUUAAGUCGGAUGUGAAAGCCCGGGGCUCAACCUCGGAAUUGCAUUCGAUACUGAGUGGCUAGAGUUCGGUAGAGGGCGGCGGAAUUUCCGGUGUAGCGGUGAAAUGCGUAGAUAUCGGAAGGAACAUCAAUGGCGAAGGCAGCCGCCUGGGCCUGGACUGACACUGAGGCACGAAAGCGUGGGUAGCAAACAGGAUUAGAUACCCUGGUAGUCCACGCCGUAAACGAUGAGAACUUGACGUUGGUUCGUUUUACGAAUCGGUGUCGCNGCUACGCGAUAAGUUACUCCGCCGUCGGGAGGUACGGCCGGCCGACGGUUAGGUAAACGUAACGUAAAGGUAAAGUUAGUUACGGUCGUUGAGACGUUGCCGACGGACGACGACCGAGGGAGGAGG
rnacentral:rRNA from 1 species